rnacentral:rRNA from 1 species
CCGUCGCGAGAUCAAAACCAGUCGGGGCGAGCGGCGGGCAACCGUCGCGCGAGUACCAAUUUUGGUGACUCUGGCCCCCCGCCGGGCGACCCGUACCAAUUUUGGUGACUCUGGAUAACCUUCCACCGGCCGGGCGACCCGUACCAAUUUUGGUGACUCUGGAUAACUUCGGGCAACCUGCGCGCGACCCGUACCAAUUUUGGUGACUCUGGAUAACUUCACGCCGAUCGCAUGGCCUUCGGGCCGGCACUUAUCUUUCAAAUGUCUGCCUUAUCAACUUCGAUGGGAGGUUCCGCGCCUACCAUGGUUGCUACGGGUAACGGGGAAUCGGGGUUCGAUUCCGGAGAGGGUGCCUGAGAAACGGCUUCCACAGCCAAGGAAGGCAGCCAGGCGCGCAAAUUACCCACUCCCGGCACGGGGAGGUAGUGACGAAAAAUAACGGUACGGGACUCUUUCGGAGGCCCCGUGAUUGGUAUGAGUACACUUUAAAUCCUUUAACGAGGAACCAUUGAGGGCAAGUCUGGCGCCAGCAGCCGCGGUAAUUCCAGUUAAAUAACAAUGUCGGGCCUUCGGGUCUGACAAUUGGAAUGAGAACAAUUUAAAUCCCUUAUCGAGGAUCAAUUGGAGGGCAAGUCUGGUGCCAGCAGCCGCGGUAAUUCCAGCUCCAAUAGCGUAUAUUAAAGUUGUUGCGGUUAAAAAGCUCGUAGUUGAAGUUCUGGCUGCUUGACCCUCGAGCUCUGUAGCCGAGGGAUCAGCAGUCAUCCGCUUGCAAACAUAAAUUCGCCUUUAACCGGGCGGCUAUGUGAGUAAGCAUUUUACCUUGAGAAAAACAGAGUGUUCCAGGCAGGUUUGUCCGGAAUGCAUUAGCAUGGAAUAAUAGAAUAUGACUGAAGUCGAUUUAUUGGUUUGAGGCUUUAGUAAUGAUUAAUAGGAACAGUCGGGGGCAUUGGUACUUGACAGUCAGAGGUGAAAUUCUAGGAUUUGUCAAAGACUAACAAAUGCGAAAGCAUUUGCCAAGGAUGUUUUCAUUAAUCAAGAACGAAAGUUAGGGGAUCAAAGACGAUCAGAUACCGUCCUAGUCUUAACUAUAAACUAUACCGACUCGGAUUCAGAUGAAUCAUAAAGUUCAUUUGGGACCGUAGGAGAAAUCAAAGUUUUUGGGUUCUGGGGGAAGUAUGGUCGCAAGGCUGAAACUUAAAGGAAUUGACGGUUUUGCACCACCAUGGAGUGGAGUCUGCGGCUUAAUUUGACUCAACACUGGGAAACUCAUCAGGGCAAGAAGAUUGUAGGAUUGACAGAUUGAGAGUUCUUUCUUGAUUNNNNNNNUGGUGGUGCAUGGCCGUUCUUAGUUGGUGGAGUGAUUUGUCUGGUUAAUUCCGUUAACGAACGAGACCUUAACCUGCUAACUAGUACGUUGAUGACAAAUCAACGAUACUUCUUAGAGGGACUAUGUGAUGUAAUCACAUGGAAGUUUGAGGCAAUAACAGGUCUGUGAUGCCCUUAGAUGUCCUGAGCUGCACGCGUACUACAAUGGAUGCCCUUAGAUGACAUGGGCCGCACGCGCGCUACACACUGAAGGUAUCAGCGUGUUUCACUCUCCCUGUCCGAAAGGUCCGGGUAACCGCUGAACCUCCUUCGUGGUUGGGAUUGGGGACUGCAAUGAUCCCCAUGAACCAGGAAUCCCUAGUAGGCGCGGGUCACUAGCCCGCGUCGAUUACGUCCCUGCCGUUGGACACACCGCCCGUCGCCUACUACCGAUUGAAUUAUUUAAGUGAGGCCUUCGGACGCUUGUCGGGGUGCCGUCGCGUGGGGGAGCAAUCUCUGUGCGCGCGCGGUGCCUACCAACGGCGAGACUGAAAGAUGGUCGAACUUGAUCCUUUAGAGGAAGUAAAAGUCGUAACAAGGUUUCCGUAGGUGAACCUGCGGAAG